UGAGGACGAGAAUUCCUGCUUCAGGACCAACCCGGGAGAGCCUGGCUCCGGGACACUGUGGGUCACCCCUCAGGGAGGGGCAAAACUGCCUUCUCAGAGCAGCGGGAGGGAGAUGUCUGGCUUGGGGACACUCAGAGUUCCCUUGUCCGCAGGGCUGCUUAAGGCAAACACCUGGUUCAGGGACACUGUGGGUCAGGUCUCUAGGGACACCCGGGCUCCUUUCUCCUCAGAGCUGCCUCAGGCAGAUACCUGGUUCAGGGACACUGUGGAUCAUGUUUCUAGGGAUGCCCAGAGAGUGGUUGCAGUCCCAUGUAAACAACAGGGCCCCAUCCAGGAUCCCAAAUGAUAUCCAGUCAACAUGUCUCUGUAGACUCCUCUUGGGGUGACAGUUUCUCUGAACUUCCUUGUCCAGUGACCUCGGCACCAUGGGGAGGACCUGUCAGACUGAGUGAGAGUACAGAGCAGAGACAGCCCAGCACAGGGCAGUUUCCCACUGGGUGAUGCUAAAGCCCUGUGAGCACCUAGUGCGGGGAGAUCCUGCUCUCAGGGGGACCAGAGCAGCCAUCCGACCACCUCACCACGCAGCUCUUGCAUGUGUAAUAAUUUGUUUAAAGUUAGAAGCUGUGUUACUGACCAAGACCUGUGAUCACGACUGUAGUCCUGAUGUAAGCAAAUGGUCAGGUAUUUUUUAGAUUGUUCUACUUUGGGGUUUACUUGUUUUCCCUCACAUUUAGACUUGCGCCAUGUGUCUGGGGGAAGCAGUCACAGAGGUAGAGAGCUGCUCUGUCAUCUCAAGCCCUCAAGGUGAAUGUUAUUUUAGUACGAGGGUGCUCAGCUGGCUGGGGGAGUGCCUUUCAUGUUUCCUUGUUUUUCUUGUAUUUAGCCUAGGGCUGUGAAUCUGGGGGAAGCAGGUCACAGAGGUGGACAAUGCUUUGUCAUUUCAGACCCUCAAGGUGAAUGUCAUGUUAGUAAUAACUGUGCUCACAUGGCUGAGAUAGUACCUUUCAAGUUUCUCUCUGUCGAGUUACUAUUCUCUGCAUGUCCACAUUGUCUGUGUUUUCUGGAGGAAGUCAUUUUACGGGGCCCACACUUAAGGAACAGGGAGUUACCUUCACCUCCUCAAUGGCCUUGUCUGCCUUAGUUAUUUGGUAUGCAUCUACACAAGAGGUUUCUGCACAAGAGAAUUGCAUAUUGUAAAUAAUUUAUCUCAAUCUAUAGCUUUUCUUUUUGUUCUCUUUCACAGAGUAUAAAAUUUAUUUUUUUCAUGUUGCCGCAGUCUGGCUGGGCACAAAAUAACUGAGCCACCACGAGGCACUUGUAGGUUCAAACAGGAACUACUUUAUUGCCAGAACCCCACCAGAACACUCCCCAACUCCUCAGAAAACCCAUGAGAACCAACGGGAACUCCACGGGAACUCUGCGAGAACUCAACGGGAACUCAACGAGAACUCCACAAGAACUCAAAAGUAGUGGGCACUCGAGAUAGCAGGAGCCGCCCCACUGCUGGACAGCAGAGGUUUAUAUAUACAACUGAAUAUGCUGGCAUUACUUCUCAACCACUCCUUCUGGCAAAAUGCCAGGCGCCAUCCCGACCUGGUUGUGGCUCUCAACAUCUCCCCCCUUCUGUGUAAUUAAACAAGCAUGUGGCUUAGGGACAGUGCCUGUCUUAGGUUGUCCAAUACUACAUAUGGUCCUUACCCGUCAUCGGAUGAGCUGACCUCAAGGUGUCAGCCUCCUGUCUUAGGUUGGUACCAUUGUAAUUGGAUCUUACCCAUCAUUGACUACCGGCCCAGCAUUUUUAGCCACACUUGUGGAUACAAACACCAUAAACAAUCUGCUACAAGCAGAAGGGGAGGAUACAAAAUGCCACAACAACAAGCCAAUUGAUGGCUCCUUUUGGAAAAAUUGUACCACCUAUGACACCAUUGGCAAAGAUACCCCAGCACCACCACUAUUUGCUGCACUAACAGAUAGUUCACAAUGCAUACAAGUGAUACAUAGUCCAGGCAAGUUCUGCAAGUAGUUCAAAGUAGAGGAAUCUAUUAAUAUGUCCAUUUCCUCCCAAAGUAAAUAGACUCCUUGAUUGAGUAUCACUUGUUGAGUUACAUUAUUCAUUGAUGUAUCAGUUUAUACAGUUUGUUGUGAUAGCCAUUGCAGAAGCUGUACUUUGGUUUUAUCUUUGUCUUUACCGGCACUGGGAUGAAGAUAGGAAUUCUGGCAAUGAUGGCUAAAAAAAAAUUAUGUAACAUUAGCAGGCACUAAAAGAAAGCAAUUUUCUAAACAAUUUAGUAUCCUGAAUAGAAUUAGAUAUAAUGAAAAGGAAAGGUGAAAGUAAACAAACAGAUCUGUUAACCUCCUUUUUUGUUCACAUAUUAAAACAAUCCUCAACAGCUGUUUACCCAAUUUAAAUUAAACCAUUUAAAUCAUAGGAAUAAUAAAAAAAAAAAUUUGGAUCCAUUUUCUCAUGAGCACUCCUCAUAUAUGAUAUAUGGACAUAUGCACAUACAGACAUACAACACAAAACACAAGUGUGCACACAUAAUACAAUACAUACAACACAUAACAUAAUAGUAAAGGCCUUAUAGCUUUUCACAGGUGAAAUCCCCAUUGCAAUGCUCAAAAACUCCACAGUCAAAAAAUAGAGCUGAUCAGAAAAACAUUAACUUAGGUCUAUAUGAGCUCAAAAAAAAACAAAAAAACAAAAAAAACAAAAUAGAACUUCAUGAUGUGGGAAAGGGCAAUAAAAAAAUAGAUAUUGAAAAAAGCAUCCUGGUUACCACCUGGGUUUGACUCUUCUUUUGAUAUCCCAUCCUUUUUUUUUCCUUUUUCUUUUUUUUUUCCUGUAACUUGCAUAUGGGUCUGAAUGUAUUCCUACAAGCAAGACCCAAGGUUUUUUUACAUUUGAAAUAGGCCUUAAUGGUGUUCAUUAUUCAUUAGCCUCCAGGUGUGGGAGAACCACUGUCACAGAUGUAAGGAUAGCCAAACUGGAGUUCUGGAUAUCAGCUGUUAUGGAUUGAUUGAGCCAAAUCAUCUUCUUUUUGGUCUGUAGAAAUCGCUUUAGUUAAUCUCUCUGGAAUCCAAAUCAGGUGCUGUUCUCCCUGUGGAAACACACAAACAGACCCCCGACUCCAGACAAUCACUGGGUCAGGACCUUUCCAUUGUCUUGUUAGAAUAUCCUUCCAAAGUACCUUGGGCUUAUGUACAUUUUUUGGACACAUAUGCCUAUCCGCAACAGUAAGCCCUGAUGAAUCCAAAUUUUAAAAGUUUAGAGUAAAAAGGGUUAUUUUAAGUUUAUCUUUGGGGGAUAUAUACCUCUUCCCAAUUCCCUCUUUUUGCUUUAAUAAGUACAUUUUAAUAGUUUGAUGAGCUCUUUCAACUAUACCUUGGCCCUGUGGAUUGUAUGGGAUUCCUGUUAUAUGAGUAGUGCCAAAUGAUGAGCAAAAUUGUUUAAAAGAGGUAGAAGUAUAGCCAGGGCCAUUAUCUGUCUUUAACUGUUAUGGAACACCCACAGUGGCAAAAUUUUGUAGGCAAUGAGCUAUAAUAUCUUUAGUUUGUUCUCCGGCAUGAAGGGAGCCUAUCAAAAAUCCGGAAGAAAUAUCAACUGUAACAUGCAAAUAUUUUAAUUUUCCAAAUUCUGGCAAUUGUGUGACGUCCAUCUGCCACAUAUGGUUAGGUAUCUGUUGAGAGCCACAGCAGAAGGGGCCCCAGCAAACUUCCAGCUGCCAGCAAACUUCCAGCUGCCGGCUGAUGAUUGGCUCACAGUGGCCCCAGCAACAUCUAGCUGAUUGGCUCCUCGGCCCCAGCAACAUCUAGCUGAUUGGCUCCUCUGUGGUGAUGCUCAUUGGGCUGUUUCCCUGCCCUUUCAGACCACGGAGCUGCUCAUUGGGGGACUUUUUUGGCUCCGCCCACGUGACCCAGCCAAUCGGCCUCAAGAGCAGGAGGAUUGUGGGAGGUGGAGAGAAGCUUGUGUGGGAGAGAGAGGCUUGUGGGAAGCCGGUGGUGGCAGUUGAGGCUCUGAGGGUUUUUCCUGAGAGGCUGUUUUGUUUGGCGUGUGUGGUUCUAAAAAUAAAGUUAGUUUCUUUUGACAAGUGGCUCCUGAUUGUGCCCAGCCAGACUGCAGCAGGUAUCAGUCCUCUAGGAUUGACUGCAAGAUUAACUUGUGGUAAAAAGGUCACACAAUUUUGACAUUGUUUUAUUAUUUGUCUAGCUUGUUCCUUAGUUAUUUUAAAAUGCUUUUGUAAAGUAUUAGCAUUGACAUGGAACUUUUUAUGAAAAUUUGUAGCUUCUUCUAGUGUAGAGAAAAUAUGUAUGUCAUGUGUAGUUUUAUCUGCUAAAUCAUUGCUCAAACUAAGGGCUCCAGGCAAUCCUGUAUGUGCCCUGAUAUGUCCUAUAAAGAAUGGUUCUUUUCUGUCCCAGAUUAGACUUUGUAUAGUGGAAAACAAAGAGAAAAUAGUAGAGGAAGGGGAAAUCCUACAGCAUCUUCAAGGGAUACUAUAGCAUUAACUAUAUACGGACUAUCAGAAAAUAAAUUAAAUACAGAAUCUUUAAACAUCACAAAAGCUUAUAAUACUGCAUUAAGGUCUACAUUUUAAGCUGAUUGUUUGGGUACUAAAAAUGUAAAAGUUUGAUCAGGGGUAACUACUGCUGCUGUACUUUUAUUUGACCCAUCAGUGAAUAUAUUUGGAGCAUUCACGAUAGGUGUUUUUCUUGUCAUUUUUGGAAAAACUACAGGAUGCUUAGACCAAAAAGACAACAAAGGAUUAGAUGGUAAGUGGUUAUCAAAUGAAACAUUAGAUUUGCACAUGAUUAUUGCCCAAGUAUUUAACUCAUUAGCUAACUCAUCAAUUUGAUCCAUUGUAUAUGGAGUAAUAAUUUUAUUAGGAUAAAUUCCAAACACUCCCUUUGCUGCUUUUAUUCCUUUGAGUAUUAAUU